AUUAGUGGCUGCAGCAUUCAGGUGUGCAGGAGCGGUGGGGAAGCCACGAACGAGAGAGCUGCAGGAGCCCCUUAUCGUAGCCAAAUCAGAGACGGACGACGGAGUGAGAGAGUAGAUGCAAAUCGUGGAACUGGCCAGGUCCUUGAUUGAUGGCGAGCUUAAUGGAGCCCUGAACCUAAAGCAAAGCAACUGCUGAAGAAUCGAGUCGCACCUCUCCUGCCAGGCUGGUAGGGGGCUCUUGGUGGCCCACAAACUCUCCCCACUCAAAACCUUGAAUUGUCCGCCUUGCCCACAUACAAUCUUUUUUUCACAAACCCUCCCAUGCGCACUCUUCCUCCUGGACAAUCACAUUCAACCCAGACGUGGGUUACAUGAACUGUGGGAUUGGGUUGGUACAUUGGGGUCAAUUCCCAAGUGUUGAGAAUUUUGUGGACUCAUUUGCGCUUUGCAUUGAGAUUCGAAUUGUAUAUCAAUGUUUCUGAUUCAUGUCCUGAAGUUGCAUAGUUAAUGAAUUAUUUUGAAUAUUCAUUAUUGAAUGGCCAUUUAUGAGUUACUGUUUGUUAUUCACUGUAAAUAUUUGCACUGUUGGCUGUCUUAUAUGUUUAAAGAAAUAUUCAAUAUAUGGUACCUGCAAACACAAAAUCAGCUUCCUGUCUACUCUCUCCUUGAGCCGAAUUUAGCCUUCUGAUUACUAGCCUAACGAACCUAACUAUUUCUGGUGUUAGUAAACCAGUUCUUUACUACUUACCUACUACACAGGUGUUACACUUGUAUCAGCAGUAUGGUUUCUCUCACUUGCAAAGUGAAGAAUAAUGUUUUAGUUCAAGGGGUGUAAAUGAUUUAGCACAAUGCUGACAGCUGUUUGGUUCCUCCAGAGUGAACACAUUAAUAACAAGAAAAGCACUCAGAGAGUGCAGUACUCCACCAAAGCUGCUCAGUCUUUCUAUCACUUCCGAUGGAUGAAAUCUUUAAUGAAAAAACUGACCUUGCGCUGAGCACAGGCGUGUGUUAUGCAUGUGUACGUUAUGUACUGAUUCCAAACCACGUGACCUAAAUAUAUAGCAGGCAGUGGGAACUGAUGGGACUCAACAACACCCCCACAAUUUAAUCAGUUGUUUCUUGCAUCAUUCCCGAUGGACAAGUCCUGGUGGAUUUGUAAAAGGAUCGCAAUCAUGUGAUCGUCAACAGGCGGGUGACGUAGCGUUCACUUGUUGCAUAAUUACAGUAGCACAGUGCUGCUAUCUCUCAAUGGGAAAUCCUUAACAAAGCCGUGAAGCCAGACUAUAAGCCGCAUCAUUGCCAAAAUCUAAUGAGGUGGUCCGUGUGUCAUUUCUGACCUUCCUUUAAAAUUUCGUCCAAAUCCAUUAUUCUGUUUUUGAGUAAUGUGCACAGAUGGAUUCACGUACACUGAUCGUCACAUAACUCUGCCGCAUUCCUUGGCUGAGUAAUAAUUUCUCAUAGGAUUUUCAAGGCUUUAUUGAACUGGUCACAUCUGUACAGUCUCCCUCCCAAAUUAAGUCUUUGAUGAAGCUGUAGCCAGUAUGAUGCUUUCUAUGGUCUCUUACAGUGGAAAAGGUGUAUCGUCCCCCCUCAGUGAACGUUUAUCGAUCGUUGACUUCAGUGAUGUCUCUCUGACUUUCUCACAGUGGUCACAGAUGUAAGGCUUCUGACCAGUAUGACUCUGUUAGUGGAUUCUAUAGUCCCUUGCAGAUGAAAAGCUUUUCUACAUUCAUCACAGCAACAUGGUUUCUCUCCAAUGCAGACUGUCUGAUGACACUUCAGCUUAAAGGUUGCUGUUGAGACUUUCUUACACUGCUGAGAACAGUGAGAUAUCAUCCAGUGUGGUAUAUUAGCCUUCGCCCUGAGUCAGCUGGGAUAGGCUCCAGCCUUCCUGUGACCCUACAGAGGAUUAAGAUGUAUAGAUAAUAUGGAAGAUGCCAGCAUCAGAGGAGAGAAGAAAGUCAUUAGUAACUUUGAGGAGAUGUCAGUACUGUGGUUAGAGCAGAAUCCAGAGUGGAAAGAUCCAUACAGCUUGUUGGCAGAGAGACGGGCUUUGAGUUGUGAUGCAACAGCACCUUCCAGUAUUUCAGAUAAAAAGGUGAGGGUGAGAUUGGUCUGUAGUUAUUUGGGAUGUCAGGAUUCAGUUCAGGUUUUUCAAGAAUGGGGGUGACAGCAGCAAAUUUAGACAGAGUGGGAUGAAGCCAGAAGAUAGUGAGAAGUUUAUAGCCAUGAUGAGUGGGAAUAGUUUUGGAAAGUAGUCCUCAACAAACUAACCCUAACCCUGUUAUCAUAUUUAUUUGUCUGUGCUACUGUCUGUCAUCCUCUUUUCUCCUUUAUUUUGCCUCCAAAUGUAACCAGAUGCAAUUAAACUUAAACAAUGAAGGCAAAAACAAGCAACUCUCUGAAACAAAACAGAUGUUAAAAGUUAAUUUAUCAUCUAAAUGUAUUAAAUUUGCUGUUAAGGAUUAUUUGCAUGACAGUCCAACAAGCACUGUCUGAAAUAAAAACAGCAAAACUACACCACUUCUUCUUUUCUAAGUGGUCAUUUAUCUGCAGGCUCAUAUUUAAAUGAAAUAACAACAACAACCGCUCUGGGCUCAAUCACUUUAUUUGAUUUGAAUACAUACCUGUCACUGUUUAUGUAAAAGUCAUUUGAAUUCAGACAAAUGUUCAUGUCAAUAGACACAUCAUUAACCAGUGAUGAGCAGGGAUCUGUGCUCUGGUCCUCAGUUUGGGUUCUGAUCUCCUUGGAAAAGGAGAGAACCAGGAGAGGAUUUACCUACAGAAAUGAACCAUAUAAAAAUAAUGAUAAAGUGUGAAUUGACUGAACAUGCAAAAUCCCUCACAGCCCUCCUUCCACCUGUUACAUAAUCACACACACUGACAUUUUAAACUUCUGUAUACGUGGAUCAGAUCUCAGUUUCCAACAGUCUGUGACUCUGUAAUGCAGCAGGAGGAAGUUCAGAGAGAAACACUGCUGACAAGGUGAGAGUCCUUUAAAUCUCUUAUCACAGGUUUUAGUUAUAACAGUUCAGGACUAAAACUAAUUUAUUUUAUUAUUGAUUAAGGGUGGUUUCAAGGACAUGUUACUGAAAGAAGAAACAAAUCAUUUAUAGCAGCUACAUUUGUUUUAAUAAAUAUUUUAUGAAUCAUCAUUUCAAGAAAUAUUUCUAUUUACAUUAAAUACUACAAUAAAUAAAAGGAGGAGAGAAAAUUGUUUUUCACAAAUGAAGGGAAAGGACAUUGCAAGCUGUGGCAAGCAGUUUGAUAAUUCAUAGCAGUUUUGGAAGAAAUAUUCAGAAACUUUACAACUGAAUAAAAUACUCUGUACUCAUCCUCAGAAUGCAGAAAUUGUCCAUGUCAGAAUUUCAUAUUCUAUUCUACAGGACAUAUUUUGUCAUUCGUUAUUGUGCGCAUAACUUAAAUGACAAAGCUAAAUUUAAUUUGUUUACAUCAGCUGCUUGAAUCACAAUAUUAAAGUAUAAUACAUCAGUUAGUUUACAUAUUGUGCAGUGUUAGACUCAGCAGGUCUGUCUCUCCAUCUCCAUCCCUACCAAUGAACCAGUCCUGCUCCCACUGAACAAGGAGCUGAACAGCAUUGUGUUGAACCACAUGUCAGCUGCUAGAACUGCAGGAGAUCUGUGGGAAUUUAUUUUGUGAUCAGGAUAAAUAAAGAAAGCUGAGCUAAAUCAUUUUCAGUGAGAUGAGUCAGUCUGUAUUAAAGUUACAGCUCAUGUUAAAUAAUACCUUCAAGUCACGUGACCAAGGUGUGUCUCCAUGACUUUGAUGCAGACUGAAAUGUGGUUGUUUACUGACAUCUAGUGGUUCUGAUACACAACUGCAGGUAAUCUGAGUCAAUAUUCAGUGAUUUUUAGUGUUUUCUGUGGUGCGCGAAGUUAAGUGAAAUCAACAACAUGGAAGAUGUUGGUUACUAUAUGAGUACAAAUGGUAUAAUUUUACAGGAUAUAUGAUCAUAUACACAUUAUUUACACUCUACAGAGUAAGGACUGGUCACGUGAUAUAGUUUUGUCAGAGAGAAGUGUGGAAGUGGAGGAAGAGGAAAAAUAACACGUAGUGACAUUGUAGCAUCUUUUCAUGGGGAUCAAAACCGCUGAUGGCAAUAAUGAAGAGAUACCAGGGAUCAGUCAGACAGAUGGGAUUGAUGCAUUUAAGUUUACUUUAGUUUUUGGUUUUCCAUCCAUCCAUUAUCUAUACACCGCUUAUUCCUCACUAGGGUCAUGGGGGGGGGUGCUGGAGUCUAUCCCAGCUGACUCGGGCGAAGGCAGGGGACACCCUGGACAGGUCACCAGUCUGUCGCAGGGCUGCAUACAGAGACAAACAAUCACUCUCACAUUCACACCUACGGGCAAUUUAGAGUAAUCAAUUAACCUCAGCAUAUUUUUGGACUGUGGGAGGAAGCCGGAGUACCCGGAGAAAACCCACGCAUGCACAGGGAGAACAUGCAAACUCCAUGCAGAAAGAUCCCGGGAAAGCCGGGACGCGAACCAGGGAUCUUCUCGCUGCAAGGCGAAAGUGCUAACCACUACACCACUGUACAGCCCAGUUUUUGGUUUUCUUUUUUUUAUUUUGUCUUUUGCCCUCAUGAUACUGUGAUACUGUGGCAUGUCUCAAAUAUAUUAAAUAAGUAAAUAAAAAUGCUGAAAAAUGUCCUUUUCUCUUCCAGAUGUCAGUAAACUCCUCAUCCUCCAAUGACUCCCUUUUUCAUUUAAACUUUCCCUCCAUCCACUACGACAUCCCGCUAUACAUAUAUUGUCUCAGCACCACACCAAGCUCCUUCAUCUACAUCACGUAUCGUAUCACCACCAUCCUCCUCCUCCUCCCUCUCUGCAUCUUCAUCAUCUACCAUGGUGUCCAACAAUGGAGGCAAAAUCACUCCACCUCCUCAGCAGCAACCAUGAGUCACUCUGACAGCUUCACCUACAACAUGGUCACCAUGGAGAUGAUUGGUGUCUUUGGUUGUAUCCUCUGCUGUUGUGGUAUCUACAGUGAUCAGAUAAUCGUAACAGUUGUUGGAUGCGCUCUUUUUUCUUUCACCUGGUUUGGACAGACAUUCUUCCACGUCCUGACCUGUGUGGAGCGCUACCUGGCUGUGGUUCAUCCCAUCACCUACCUGAGCCUGAGGAAAGAGAGAGGGAUCAGAAUCAGAAACAUCAGCAUCAGCUGUGUCUGGAUGCUUAGCUUUGGAGAGACAAAUCUGUUAAUGAACGAUGAUGUCUUUAUCAUUGUAAAUUUCUGCUUCCUGUUACUAUCUUUAACUGUUGUCUCCCUCUGCAGCGUUUCUGUUCUCUGUGUUCUGAUUCGUCCAGGUCCAGGGGAACAGGGUGGGAGCAGGGAGAGGGUUGACCAAUCAAAGCAGAGGGCAUUCUACACCAUUAUAGUCAUACUGGGAGUGCUGGUGUUGAGGUUUGCUUUGAAUCUGCUUUGGGCUGUGCUGAACAUGUUGGAACGAAGUGCUGACUGUGUGACAGUCACAAGUUGUACCUGGUCUAAUCUGCUCAGUAGUCUGGUGUUACCUUUGCUGUUUUUAAAGAGAGCAGGAAAAUGAAUAUGUUGUAAGAACAACACCCAAUGACCAUAAUAGUCAGAUUUGCAAAAAAUAAAAUUACUUCAGGUACAAGAAAAUAAAGAUCAAUAGAUAAUAAAGAAAAAUUACUAUCUGAAUGCAAUUAUAAUAAAAGUUGCAUGGUUUAAUUUCUCUUCUGUGUUUUGAAACUUGGGGGCAGAACAACUCAACAGCAAGAUGAGAGACAAACAAAGCCAGCAUCUUAUCUAUAAAAUGUGAUAUGCACAUUAAAAUUAGUUGAAAAUUUCCCACUUAAAACAUUCUCUGGGUUGGUCUUCACUUACUGCUUUGAAAAAUAUGUCUUGAGAUGUGACACUUUUUUUUUUAAUCAGCUUUUGACUAAGUUUAUGUGUCAGGUGUCUGCUGAGGCUUCAGAUGAAACUGAUGACAGCACUGAUCUGAACCAAGCAGUAAAUGAGCUGUAAAGAUAAGACAAAACUAAAAGAGGCAAAUCAUCUUAUUCAAUAAAUCACAUUCACAAAAUACAGAGACUUCAGAGUCUCCAGCUGCCUUGUAAGGAUUUACUUUAGACCAACAUGACUUUGAGCAAACCUUGUCAAUUUUUCCAACUCAUAUCUGCUUGUAUAUCUGUACUUAUAAAAGGGUUUCUACCUGGUCAUUUUCUUUUUAUUUAGCUUUGUAGUUUCAGAAUUGUUUAAAAGCCACAAUGAUUAUAUGGCAGUUUUUUGUUUUUCUUCUCUGGUACCUAAACAUGUUGUUUGUCUUAAAUUAAUACCAGUUUAAUGUAUAAAACACACAAAACAUGUUAUGUUGAUUCUGCUUCAGUAAUUAAUCCUGAUUAAACGAUGAUAAAAUAUGUUUUUAAUGCUUUCAUGUAUGUAACUUAGAAUGAAUGUAUCUAAAACAGAAUUAAGCACAUUAACAUCAGUCUUCCCUAAAAAUAUACCAACAAUAAUAAUGAAAAACUUAAUAUUGGUAUAAUAAGAAAUCAACAGUUCAUUAAGUUGUUUGUUCAAAAAAAAAUGUCAAAGAUAUGGUUUUAAUCAAUAGUUAUGCUGAGUGGCAGAAUCACUGUUCCUUCUGUGCAGUAGUAGUGGUUUCAGUGGUACAUGAAGACCAGGUGAGGAAAAGAGUGAUAAAAGAAGGUAGAAUGGAACAGACAACAACCCAGAGGUCAUCUCAGUAGAAAUCGGACAUCUGAGACAACAGGCAUUUAGGAGGAAAUGAGGCAAGAGACACCAGCAGGGCUACUUGGUUUGGCUGGUCUGUUGCUCAGACAGCUAGAGUUAGUUUUUUGUUUUUUUUAAUCAGGGAUUUUCACCAAGAGAAUUUUUCUUUUAGACUUUUUCCCCACAUCUUGAUGUUGAUUUUACAAAAAAAUAUACACAACAGCUAUUGUACAAUUAAAUAUAUGACAUGUGGGUAAUAAAAAUACAGACUUUUUUAAAAAAUGUGAUUUCAAAAUAAAUACUACUUUGCCUGUAGUUUCUAUCAGUUUGUUCAAAUGAGAGACUGCUAUAAGCUACUCUAAAACUAAAUGUAGUCCUCACAUGAAGUGUACAUGCAAUUCCUGCUGUCUGGUCAACCAACUCUUCAAUCAAUAAAUCAAUUUUGGGCACAGGCUUAAAAAAAAGUAUCCCAGA